AGCUUGGGUAAAACCCUUCUCAUCCCAGCCCCCAGCUCCUCUAUUGAAGUUGCUCCCUCACUGGAUGUCCAUUGGCUGGGUUUUUUAAAGUGAAGAUUCUGUUCGUGUAUGAGUUCAACUGGAUAGCCAUUGGGUUCCCUUCUGAGCCUAGACUUGAAGGUAUCAGACCUGUCCUGAACAACUCCCAUUUUUCUGUGGCUCUAUGAAACAACUAGGUGGUAGACUGGAUAGAGUGCUGGCCUUGGAGUUAGGAGUACAAAUCCUGCCUCUGACACUCACUAGCUGUGUGACCCUGGAAACUUUUUAGGUACCUACUGUGCUAAACACCAGAGACAUAAAGAAAGGCCAAAGUCAGCCCCUGAAUCCGAGGAGUUCACAGCCCAACGGGGACAACAAUGUGAAAAUAACUACUGUAUGUACAAACAAGAUCUAUAUAGGACAAAUUGGAACGCACUACCAUUAAUGGCGAUCAGGAAAGGCUUCUAGUAGAAGAUGGAAUUGUGGCUGGGACUUGAAAGAAGCCAGAGAAACCAGGAGGUGUUGAAGAGAAGGGAGAGUAUUCCAGGCAUAGGGAAGAACCAGUGAAAAAUGCACAGGCUGGGAGAUGAGUGUCUUGUGUGAGGAAUAGCAGGGAUGCCAGUGUCGCUGGACUACAGAGUGAAUGAGGAGAGGAGUAAGGUGUGAGAAGACUAGAAAGGUAGGACGGGGCUAGGUUGGG